rnacentral:pre_miRNA from 1 species
CAAACAAGUUCUUUUAGUUUUUGAAUCGUUUCAAACAAGUCUUUCUAGAGGAUGAUGGUGAUGAUUCAGAUGAUAGCAACAAAGAGCAUUAUCC